rnacentral:rRNA from 1 species
CCCUUAGAUGUUCUGGGCCGCACGCGCGCUACACUGAUGCAUUCAACGAGUCUAAAACCUGCUCUGAUAGGGGUGGGUAAUCUUUUGAAUGUGCAUCGUGAUUGGGAUAGAUGAUUGCAAUUUUUCAUCUUCAACGAGGAAUGCCUAGUAAACGCAAGUCAUCAGCUUGCAUCGAUUACGUCCCUGCCCUUUGUACACACCGCCCGUCGCUCCUACCGAUUGAAUGAUCCGAUGAAUAUCAUGGAUUGAGGAUGCAAGUAGGUUCGCCUAUCUUCAUCUUCGAGAAGUGAAGUAAAUCUUAUCAUUUAGAGGAAGGAGAAGUCGUAACA